AGUGAACGCUGGCGGUAGGCCUAACACAUGCAAGUCGAACGGCAGCACAGUAAGAGCUUGCUCUUACGGGUGGCGAGUGGCGGACGGGUGAGGAAUACAUCGGAAUCUACUUUUUCGUGGGGGAUAACGUAGGGAAACUUACGCUAAUACCGCAUACGACCUACGGGUGAAAGCAGGGGAUCUUCGGACCUUGCGCGAUUGAAUGAGCCGAUGUCGGAUUAGCUAGUUGGCGGGGUAAAGGCCCACCAAGGCGACGAUCCGUAGCUGGUCUGAGAGGAUGAUCAGCCACACGGGAACUGACACACGGUCAAGACUCCUACGGGAGGCAGCAGUGGGGAAUAUUGGACAAUGGGCGCAAGCCUGAUCCAGCCAUACCGCGUGGGUGAAGAAGGCCUUCGGGUUGUAAAGCCCUUUUGUUGGGAAAGAAAAGCAGCAGGUUAAUACCCCGCUGUUCUGACGGUACCCAAAGAAUAAGCACCGGCUAACUUCGUG
rnacentral:rRNA from 1 species